CCCUCGCUAGCUCAAUCGGUAGAGCGUGAGACUCUUAAUCUCAAGGUUGCGGGUUCGACCCCCGCGUGGGGCU
rnacentral:tRNA from 1 species